rnacentral:rRNA from 1 species
AUGAAACAAUGUAGGCAAGGGAAGUCGGCAAAACGGAUCCGUAACUUCGGGAAAAUGAUUGGCUCUGAGGACUGGGCUCGGGGGUCCCGGCCCCGAACCCGUUGGCUGUCGGCGGAUUGCUCGAGCUGCUCACGCGGCGAGAGCGGGUCGCCGCGUGCCGAUGGGGGGACGGAUCGGGAAUCGCCCCUUCGGGGGCUUUCCCCGAGCAUGGAACAGUCGACUCAAAACUGGGGACAAGGGGAAUCCAACUGUUUAAUUAAAACAAAGCAUUGCUAUGGUCCUUGCGGAUGCUGA